GAGUGACCCUGAUCGCCAUCAUUUCUCUUUCUUUGCAUAUCGCCAGCCUUCUGCUUUGAUUCAAGGAGCGGUUUGUUUUCCAGAGUUGGACUACUUCAUUAAGUGCAUGCAUGGGGAGAUAGAAGGCAAUUUGGUACCCAGUUGAAGUGCAAAAUUCUCACCCCCAGGGAUUUCAAAUCGUUGCCAUCAUUCGAGGCAUGAUCAGAAAUUUUUGGGCACUCUCACUCGAAAUGAGAGAAUCUAACAAGCACAAACGUGGGCACUGACGGCACGUCAAUUUCU
rnacentral:misc_RNA from 1 species